rnacentral:piRNA from 1 species
UUCCNGGAAAUACUGGUUCCUACUUUUGGA